rnacentral:rRNA from 1 species
GGUUAAGCGACUAAGCGUACACGGUGGAUGCCCUGGCAGUCAGAGGCGAUGAAGGACGUGCUAAUCUGCGAUAAGCGUCGGUAAGGUGAUAUGAACCGUUAUAACCGGCGAUUUCCGAAUGGGGAAACCCAGUGUGAUUCGUCACACUAUCAUUAACUGAAUCCAUAGGUUAAUGAGGCGAACCGGGGGAACUGAAACAUCUAAGUACCCCGAGGAAAAGAAAUCAACCGAGAUUCCCCCAGUAGCGGCGAGCGAACGGGGAGGAGCCCAGAGCCUGAAUCAGUGUGUGUGUUAGUGGAAGCGUCUGGAAAGGCGCGCGAUACAGGGUGACAGCCCCGUACACAAAAAUGCACAUACUGUGAGCUCGAUGAGUAGGGCGGGACACGUGGUAUCCUGUCUGAAUAUGGGGGGACCAUCCUCCAAGGCUAAAUACUCCUGACUGACCGAUAGUGAACCAGUACCGUGAGGGAAAGGCGAAAAGAACCCCGGCGAGGGGAGUGAAAAAGAACCUGAAACCGUGUACGUACAAGCAGUGGGAGCACAGAGCAAUCUG